rnacentral:rRNA from 1 species
UACAGAGGGGGCAAGUGUUGUUCGGAAUUACUGGGCGUAAAGGGCGCGUAGGCGGCCUGCUAAGUCGAACGUGAAAUCCCCGGGCUCAACCCGGGAACUGCGUCCGAUACUGGCAGGCUUGAAUUCGGGAGAGGGAUGUGGAAUUCCAGGUGUAGCGGUGAAAUGCGUAGAUAUCUGGAGGAACACCGGUGGCGAAGGCGGCAUCCUGGGCCGAGAUUGACGCUGAUGCGCGAAAGCCAGGGGAGCAAACGGG